rnacentral:rRNA from 1 species
UCGCACCUACCGAUUGAAUGGUCCGGUGAAAUUUUCGGACUUUGGCGAUGCCACCUUUACUGGGGGCGCCGCCGAGGGAAGUCAAUUAAACCUUACCAUUUAGAGGAAGGUG